rnacentral:tRNA from 4 species
GGGCCCUUAGCUCAGUUGGUUAGAGCGGCCGGCUCAUAACCGGUUGGUCGAUGGUUCGAGUCCAUCAGGGCCCA